CUUGCGCUUACAACAGCAUCAUAGACCCCAGAGAUGCCGUCUCGAUCUAUCUCUGUGGACGCGCUUUUCCUAGAUAUUGUAGCGGGCUAGCAGCAAAGUGUAGGUAAGAAAGUGUAGUGUAAGUCUAGCAUAGAAUUUUAAAGGAAAUAUAAAUGACAACUAAUAUCGCCGCUAGGACAGUCUAUAUUUGGACCUCGUAGGUGUGUGUGCUCUUGUCCCUGUCAGGAAGGUGUGGCCAAUAGCCAGUCCAUGUGGAGCAGGCACAGAGAAGAGGACAACCAGAACUAACUGAGACAGGGAGAACCACCUGGCAACCUCUUCACGAGGCACACCUGCUCUGGUUCAGGCUUCAUCUGGGAAGGAUUAAUGGGUCCUGGAAUAGCAGCUCUAAACAGCAGAAGAGGAAAGAGGGAAGAGAGUGAUGCAGUACCUCCAGAACUGCGACCAUGAGGUCCCCAGCUGCCUCACCACCUACCCCAGCGACUCCCAGUCCCUGCCCCUGCAUUGCAUAAUGCUCCCACCACCACGCUUCACUGUCUCGAUGACAUAAACCAGGUGGACUCCAGUCAAGAUCUAGGUACAUCCCAAAAAUGAUCAGAAGGCUCAGGAUGCAUCCAACCUCAGUUUGGAGUGUCAUGGCAUGGGUCUGAAUACUUAUGUACAUGAGAUAUUUCUGUUUUUCAUUUUUAAUAAAUGUAAUUUAUAAAAA
ensembl:lncRNA